rnacentral:rRNA from 1 species
GCUUAACACAUGCAAGUCGAGGGGCAGCAUGGUCUUAGCUUGCUAAGGCCGAUGGCGACCGGCGCACGGGUGAGUAACACGUAUCCAACCUGCCGUCUACUCUUGGACAGCCUUCUGAAAGGAAGAUUAAUACAAGAUGGCAUCAUGAGUCCGCAUGUUCACAUGAUUAAAGGUAUUCCGGUAGACGAUGGGGAUGCGUUCCAUUAGAUAGUAGGCGGGGUAACGGCCCACCUAGUCUUCGAUGGAUAGGGGUUUUGAGAGGAAGGUCCCCCACAUUGGAACUGAGACACGGUCCAAACUCCUACGGGAGGCAGCAGUGAGGAAUAUUGGUCAAUGGGCGAGAGCCUGAACCAGCCAAGUAGCGUGAAGGAUGACUGCCCUAUGGGUUGUAAACUUCUUUUAUAAAGGAAUAAAGUCGGGUAUGGAUACCCGUUUGCAUGUACUUUAUGAAUAAGGAUCGGCUAACUCCGUGCCAGCAGCCGCGGUAAUACGGAGGAUCCGAGCGUUAUCCGGAUUUAUUGGGUUUAAAGGGAGCGUAGAUGGAUGUUUAAGUCAGUUGUGAAAGUUUGCGGCUCAACCGUAAAAUUGCAGUUGAUACUGGAUAUCUUGAGUGCAGUUGAGGCAGGCGGAAUUCGUGGUGUAGCGGUGAAAUGCUUAGAUAUCACGAAGAACUCCGAUUGCGAAGGCAGCCUGCUAAGCUGCAACUGACAUUGAGGCUCGAAAGUGUGGGUAUCAAACAGGAUUAGAUACCCUGGUAGUCCACACGGUAAACGAUGAAUACUCGCUGUUUGCGAUAUACUGCAAGCGGCCAAGCGAAAGCGUUAAGUAUUCCACCUGGGGAGUACGCCGGCAACGGUGAAACUCAAAGGAAUUGACGGGGGCCCGCACAAGCGGAGGAACAUGUGGUUUAAUUCGAUGAUACGCGAGGAACCUUACCCGGGCUUAAAUUGCAGAUGAAUUACGGUGAAGGCCGUAAGCCGCAAGGCAUCUGUGAAGGUGCUGCAUGGUUGUCGUCAGCUCGUGCCGUGAGGUGUCGGCUUAAGUGCCAUAACGAGCGCAACCCUUGUUGUCAGUUACUAACAGGUUCCGCUGAGGACUCUGACAAGACUGCCAUCGUAAGAUGUGAGGAAGGUGGGGAUGACGUCAAAUCAGCACGGCCCUUACGUCCGGGGCUACACACGUGUUACAAUGGGGGGUACAGAGGGCCGCUACCACGCGAGUGGAUGCCAAUCCCCAAAACCUCUCUCAGUUCGGACUGGAGUCUGCAACCCGACUCCACGAAGCUGGAUUCGCUAGUAAUCGCGCAUCAGCCACGGCGCGGUGAAUACGUUCCCGGGCCUUGUACACACCGCCCGUCAAGCCAUGGGAGCCGGGGGUACCUGAAGUGCGUAACCGCGAGGAGCGCCCUAGGGUAAAACUGGUGACUGGGGCUAAGUCGU